rnacentral:rRNA from 1 species
GACGAACGCUGGCGGCGUGCUUAACACAUGCAAGUCGAACGGUGAAGCGCCUUCCUUUUUGGUGGGUGUGGAUGAGUGGCGAACGGGUGAGUAACACGUGAGUAACCUGCCCCCUUCUUCUGGAUAACCGCAUGAAAGUGUGGCUAAUACGGGAUAUUCUGGGUCUGUCGCAUGAUGGGUCUGGGAAAGAUAUUGUUUCGGUGGGGGAUGGGCUCGCGGCCUAUCAGCUUGUUGGUGGGGUGAUGGCCUACCAAGGCGGUGACGGGUAGCCGGCCUGAGAGGGUGGACGGUCACACUGGGACUGAGACACGGCCCAGACUCCUACGGGAGGCAGCAGUGGGGAAUAUUGCACGAUGGGCGCAAGCCUGAUGCAGCGACGCCGCGUGAGGGAUGGAGGCCUUCGGGUUGUGAACCUCUUUCGCCAGUGAAGCAGGCCUGCCUCGUUUGUGGGUGGGUUGACGGUAGCUGGAGAAGAAGCGCCGGCUAACUACGUG